GAUGAACGCUAGCGGCAAGCUUAAUACAUGCAAGUCGUGGGGCAGCAUGAAGUAGCAAUACUUUGAUGGCGACCGGCAAACGGGUGCGGAACACGUACACAACCUCCCGAUAAGUGGGGAAUAGCCCAGAGAAAUUUGGAUUAAUACCCCGUAACAUUGCGAUGUGGCAUCACAUUGCAAUUAUAGCUUCGGCGCUUAUUGAUGGGUGUGCGUAUGAUUAGAUAGUUGGCGGGGUAACGGCCCACCAAGUCUACGAUCAUUAGCUGAUGUGAGAGCAUGAUCAGCCACACGGGCACUGAGACACGGGCCCGACUCCUACGGGAGGCAGCAGUAAGGAAUAUUGGUCAAUGGACGAAAGUCUGAACCAGCUAUGCCGCGUGAAGGAUUAAGGUCCUCUGGAUUGUAAACUUCUUUUAUAUGGGACGAAAAAAGGUCUUUACUAGAUCACUUGACGGUACCAUAUGAAUAAGCACGGCU
rnacentral:rRNA from 1 species